rnacentral:lncRNA from 1 species
UCAGACGGACCUUAAAGGACGAACCAGCAAUGGGCCAAGAGAAAAAAAAUACGCGAGUCAUAAAAAAGGGAGAAACAAAACUCGCGGGUCAUAGCUGAAAGGUAAAAACAAAACUCAUGGGUCACAGCUGAAAGGGGGAAAAUAAAUUCGUCACCAAACUGAGCUAAGUUUUUCCACAAAUUCCCUCUCUCUCCCCAAAUUCUGUCGAUUCUCUCUCCCCUAUUCUGAGCACCACAAAUUCCCUUUCUCUCAAAGCGAGUCUGAAGCAAACCGAAAGGCAAAAAGAAGAUCGAACACAACUUGCUGUAAAUAGGAAGGUAAAGAUCUUGAGCAUAUGAAUCUGUUAAUUUCUGUUUGAUUUGAAAGAAAUCUAGGGUUUCUGAGCAUAUAUUUUUUGUAGUUGUUAUUAAUUUAUAAUAACUCGUUUGUUGACCCCCAAUUGUAACCUUUGGGGGAUUUGACAAAUCGUUCUGGUUUCUUUUACUUAAAACUAGAUCCUAUAGAAAUUAAUUACUAGUUAAUAUUUUUAUUGAGUUGAAUGGCAUUCUUACACUGAAAGUCUUUAUUGAGUUUAAAUUUUUUUUAUCAGGAUAACUUAGCUCACAAAAUUUAUGAGGAAAGUUGUUUCUAUAAAUAAAAAUUUAACUAGAGGAAGUCAUAGCUCACAAAUAUUGGCAUUGAUUGAAUAAAAAAUUGAUUAAAAGCAAAACUUGCUAUUGUGAUGACACCUUCAGACUUAUAUGUUGUUAGUAUAUUUUUUGAGGGUUAUUGUCACCCAUUAACAACUCCACAAAAAACACAUUUUUUGCGAUCUCACCGCAAUAUAUCAACUGCCCAAAAGGCCCUGACUCAACUAACAUUUUGUUUUUCAUUUUAGGAAUAUCACUAUAAGUGCAUGUGGAAUAUCACUAUCACCAAGUUGGGCUUGCUUUUCACUGAAUGUUGCUAUUGCUGGGCUACUACUGCUGUUUGAUUCAUUUGUAAUCAUGGGAUAAUUAGAUUGGAAUUUAAUUUUGCAAUGGCUAACUCGUAGCUUUAGCAGAUAUGCCUAUACUGUCAUGCUUAUGUCUCCCCAAUUUUGUCUUGGGAGUUGACUGUUUGGAUUUAUGUCUGUGUUGGACAUGGUUGUUUGUUUGCCAUGCAUUAAUACUCUAAGUCAUAUAAUCUUUUGGUUUUAUCUGCAGAAUUAUUCUCUUUUGUUGUAGCAAUACCUCACAACUUUCUGACUUUUAUGGUCUAUUGUUUUACUAGCUGGUGAUAUUCAAGCAUAAUGUGCAAAGUAGCUGUGUAGUUGCUGUUAAAAAAUAUGUUAUCUUUUGCAUUCGUGAA